GCAUGGAUGAAUUCUGCAUUACCUUGUGGUGAUGUUUGCAGUCAGACACCAUGCUAAAAUAAUCUCUCUUGUGCUUUUCUUGGACGCUUUUGCAUGGGAGCGUCCAGGUGCAAUAGAGUACAAUA